UUGUGUGGAGUGAUAUUGUCAACGUACAGUUGUGCGGAUGUGGUUGGGAGAGAAGUUGGAAAAAAAUGAACCCUACCCCAAAAUACUGAGGGAUAUAUAAAUUAUGUAUUUUGUCACAGUUCUUUUUUUUCUCUUCGUCUCGUAUGAGUGUAUAUACAAAAGUAUGAAAAAAUGCGCCACAUGAUUGUACGCUUUAACUUAUGCUACUUUUUUUUCUUCAUGGCAUAUAAAAUAAAGAGAAAGAUUGUAAACUUCUAUAAAAAAAGUAAAUAAAACCUAAAUUAUACAUAUACUUAUGUAGGAUGAUUCUUAAUUAUAUGUCAAUAUAUUUUAUAGAGAAUGAAUACAGAGCUCAAGAAAAAGAUGGCGCAUAUGAAAAUAAGUCGCAUGCGUUAUUACC